UUGCCUUAAACUAAUGAGUAAGGAAAAUAACAAGCCCCGGUGACGUGGGGCUUUCGUGACGCUGUUCACGAACGUUAUUUUUGGGCGGGGUUCAGAGCGUCCUUGGGUUUGACUCGCCUACUUUGCGGGACGCCCUUGUGUGUGCUCUCUCCG